AACGAACGCUGGCGGCAGGCCUAACACAUGCAAGUCGAGCGAAGCCUUCGGGCUUAGCGGCGGACGGGUGAGUAACGCGUGGGAACGUGCCCUUUGCUACGGAAUAGCCCCGGGAAACUGGGAGUAAUACCGUAUGUGCCCUUCGGGGGAAAGAUUUAUCGGCAAAGGAUCGGCCCGCGUUGGAUUAGGUAGUUGGUGGGGUAAUGGCCUACCAAGCCGACGAUCCAUAGCUGGUUUGAGAGGAUGAUCAGCCACACUGGGACUGAGACACGGCCCAGACUCCUACGGGAGGCAGCAGUGGGGAAUCUUAGACAAUGGGGGAAACCCUGAUCUAGCCAUGCCGCGUGAUCGAUGAAGGCCUUAGGGUUGUAAAGAUCUUUCAGUGGGGAAGAUAAUGACUGUACCCACAGAAGAAGCCCCGGCUAACUCCGUGCCAGCCGCCGCCGUAA
rnacentral:rRNA from 1 species